rnacentral:rRNA from 1 species
AUUUUGGUUCAGAGUGAACGCGGGCGGCAUGGGUAAAGCUUGCACGUCGAACNAGAACCAUUUCGGUGGUGAAAGUGGCGGACGGGCGAGUAAUGCAUUUGUACGUGCCCCGAGGUGGGGGAUAGCCAGGGGAAACCCUGGGUAAUACCCCAUGUGCUCCCAGGAGGAAAGNUUUGGCGCCUCGGGAUCGGGAAAUGUCCUAUCAGGUAGUUGGCGGGGUAAYGGCCCACCAAGCCGAAGACGGGUAGCCGGUGUGAGAGCACGACCGGCCGCAUCGGGACUGAGACACUGCCCGGACUCCUACGGGAGGCUGCAGCAACGAAUCUUCCGCAAUGCACGAAAGUGUGACGGAGCAAUGCCGCGUGCGGGAUGAAGCGGCUCCGCCGUGUAAACCGCUGUCAGGACCUAG